GGGGGGCAAACUGGUAGUCUUGAGGCAGUUAGGGGUGGGUGGAACUCUUGGUGGAGCGGUGGAAUGCGUAGAUAUCAAGAGGAACGCCAGAGGUGAAAACGACCCACUGGGACUGUCCUGACGCUGAGGUACGAAAGCGUGGGUAGCGAACGGGAUUAGAUACCCCGGGUAGUCCACGCCCGUAAACGAUGUGUACUAAACCAUAGGACUCUGACUGUUUUAUGGUUGCAGCAAAAGUGUUAAGUACACCGCCUGGGGAGUACGGUCGCAAGGCUAAAACUCAAAGGAAUUGACGGGGGCUCACACAAGCGGUGGAGCAUGUGGAUUAAUUCGAAGCAACGCGCAGAACCUUACCUGGGUUUGACAUGUUUGGAUGGCUGCUUAGAAAUAA
rnacentral:rRNA from 1 species